GACUUUUGAUAAAGAACGUUGACUUCUUCUCUGGAAAGGAAAAAAAGGAAAUUUGGGAUAGGAAAAGAAUCGGGAUGGGAUAAAUAAUAAUCGCCAUUUUUUGGUCCAAUCUAUGCCAAGCACUUUACCUUUUCUGCCAUCAAAGUCAUCCACCGGAGAGCCUGUGAGGUGAGUGUAUUGUCGAUAUUUUAUGGAUGAGGAAACUGAAGCUGAGAGAGGUCCCGUAACUUGAGCGAGGUCACACGGCUGUAAGGGGUUGAGCUAGGAGAGAAACACAGGACUUCGCUGAUGGCAAAGCUGAUUUCUGCCCUGCUGUUUCACAGUCCUGGAUUCCAGAUUUUUCUGCCAUGACAACAAAGUCCCUGCCAUCCCCGCUUAGACUUUAUCAUCUGGGGUAUUUGUGCCCCAAACCAUUUUGCAUGGUUUGGGGCACAAACUUAACUUGCUUCUCAGUUAAGGCCCACAAAAAUCGUAUGUAAAGGGCAUGAUUAUUUUCCAAGUUUUUUGAGGAGGAACAAACCCAGAGACGUGUCCAAGGUCCUGGGGCCCGUAGGUGGUAGGAAGAGCACUGGAAUGCCCCCGUCUGACCCCGAACCGGGGCUUGCUCCUCUCCGCCGGGGGUUGGCACGCUACAGCCCCCGGGCCGGAUCGGGCUGGCUGCCUCUUCUUGUAAGGGUCGUGAGCCCCCCCUUUUUGUUUUUUUACAUUUUUAAGAAUUGUUGUUACAUUUUAAAUGAUUAUAAAAAGUCAAAAGGAAAAUGCUAUUUAGUGACAUGUGAAACUUAUACAGAUUAACAUUUUAGUGUCUGUCUAUAAAAAACUUUUAUUGGAACGCAGCCAUUUCUGUUGUUUCCUUGCUGUCUACAGCUGCUUUUGUACUCCCGUGGCUGAGUUGAGUCAUCGUGAUAGAGAUCGUGUGGCCGGCAAAGCCUCAAGUAUUUACUAUCUGGCCUUUUACAGGAAGAGUCUGCUGUCCUCUGCUCUACCGUGUCCUGUGGAAGAAGACAAAAGGGGGGCAUCGCCACUGACUACAGAGAGCAGGGCGUCCAGUCUCCGUCUUGCAGGAGAAGCUGGGCCGGGCUGAAGGGAACAUUGGCCUCUUUCCUGUUGAUGGUACACAGCAGGCUCAUCCUCCAGAGAUGCCACCCGGGAGAGCCCGGCGGGGGCAGCUCUGAGGUUGCAGGCAUGGCCCAGCGUAUGGGCAACGCAGGGAAUCAGGUGCCUGGGGACUCAGGGGCCGCCUCAAGAUGUUUCAGUCACUUCUGCUCCUGUUUCGAUGACCAGAGCAACUCACAGGGGAUGGCGGCUUUCCAGGAGGGGCUAAGAUGUACCAUAUUACCACGUGACCAGAAGGGAAAACCGUGAAAUAUGUGAACAGUGCUCGUGACGGUCCAUAUCCUUUCCUUCUUCUGGAUCCUUUCCUGGUUUCCGAAUUCUGCGCUUCUGAGAUGGAAGUCAGAAACUCACUGUGGUGGACAGGAUAAUGCUCCACACAAAGAUGUCCACGUCUUAAUCCCCAGAACCCACAUAUUUGGAUUACUUACCCAACACAGGAUCAACAACCCCCUUUGGCCUAUGUGGUAAUGCCUCUGAGACUUUCACCAACGUCAUGACUUCGGAUUCAGAGCAUGGUGCCACGAGUUCACCAG